rnacentral:lncRNA from 1 species
GUUAGCAGUAGACAGUCAGGGGAGAGUGGUCUGGGGUUAGCAGUAGACUGUCAGGGGAGAGUGGUCUGGGGUUAGUAGUACACAGUCAGGGGAGAGUGGUCUGAGGUUAGCAGUAGACUGGCAGGGGAGAGUGGUCUGGGGUUGGUAGUAGACUGUCAGGUGAGAGUGGUCUGGGGUUAGUAGUAGACUGUCAGGGGAGAGUGGUCUGAGGUAGUAGACUGUCAGGGGAGAGUGUUAUGGGUUUAGUAGUAGACUGUCAGGGGAGAGUGGUCUGGGGUUAGUAGUAGACUGUCAGGGGAGAGUGGUCUGGGGUUAGUAGUAGACUGUCAGGGGAGAGUGGUCUGGGUUAAGCAGUAGACUGUCAGGGGAGAGUGGCAUGGGGUUAGUAGUAAACUGUCAGGGGAGAGUGGUCUGCCGUUAGUAGUAGACUGUCAGGGGAGAGUGGCAUGGGGUUAGUAGUAGACUGUCAGGGGAGAGUGUUUUGGGGUUAGUAGUAGACUGUCAGGGGAGAGUGGUCUGGGGUUAGUAGUAGACUGUUGAGGAGAGUGGUCUGGGGUUAGCAGUAGACAGUCAGGGGAGAGUAGUCUGGGGUCAGCAGUAGACUGUCAGGGGAGAGUGGUCUGGGGUUAGUAGUAGACAGUCAGGGGAUAGGGGUCUGAGGUUAGCAGUAGACUGUCAGGGGAGAGUGGUCUGGGGUUGGUAGUAGACUGUCAGGUGAGAGUGGUCUGGGGUUAGUAGUAGACUGUCAGGGGAGAGUGGUCUGAGGUAGUAGACUGUCAGGGGAGAGUGGUCUGGGUUUAGUAGUAGACUGUCAGGGGAGAGUGGUCUGGGGUUAGUAGUACACUGUCAGGGGAGAGUGGUCUGGGGUUAGUAGUAGACUGUCAGGGGAGAGUGGUCUGGGGUUAGUAGUAGACUGUUGAGGAGAGUGGUCUGGGGUUAGCAGUAGACUGUCAGGGGAGAGUGGUCUGGGGUUAGCAGUAGACUGUCAGGGGAGAGUGGUCUGGGGUUAGUAGUAGACUGUCAGGGGAGAGUGGUCUGGGGUUAGUAGUAGACUGUCAGGGGAGAGUGGUCUGGGGUUAGCAGUAGACUG